rnacentral:lncRNA from 1 species
GAGACCUGCCAUUUGACAUGUUACUUAACCCGCACCAAUGGGCACUAGAUCCCAUAACCCUAUCUACACCGGUGGCACUAGUUGGAUAGUCUGACAAGUCAAAACUUUCUCCGACAUUGCUAAGGAAAUGCGUCAAAUGUUAACCAACCCAGCAACUCCCAGAGUUGAGGAUGAUGAGAUUCAGUUGGAUGAGCCUGAGGGCGAUGACCUUGCUGGGG